GAUGAACGCUAGCGGCAGGCUUAACACAUGCAAGUCGAGGGGUAUAGUUCUUCGGAAUUAGAGACCGGCGCACGGGUGCGUAACGCGUAUGCAAUCUACCUUUCACAAAGGGAUAGCCCCAGAGAAAUUUGGAUUAAUACCUUAUAGUAAUACGACUUGGCAUCAAGAUGUAUUUAAAGAUUUAUCGGUGAAAGAUGAGCAUGCGUCCCAUUAGCUUGUUGGUAAGGUAACGGCUUACCAAGGCAACGAUGGGUAGGGGUCCUGAGAGGGAGAUCCCCCCACACUGGUACUGAGACAUGGACCAGACUCCUACGGGAGGCAGCAGUGAGGAAUAUUGGACAAUGGGCGCAAGCCUGAUCCAGCCAUGCCGCGUGCAGGAUGACGGUCCUAUGGAUUGUAAACUGCUUUUGUACAGGAAGAAACCCUUUNACGUGUGGAAGAUUGACGGUACUGUAAGAAUAAGGAUCGGCUAACUCCGUGCCAGCAGCCGCGGUAA
rnacentral:rRNA from 1 species